AGUCCCAAAAAAAAUAACAAAUUAAACUUCUUAAUUUUUUUUUAUUUAAAUCAAAAUAUCAAGAAAUUUAGCCCGUAAAAUUUGAUUUUGGACUAAAUCGAACUUAAAUUGAAACCUGUUGGCUAAUUUGGACAAAAAAUUAAAAAUGAGCUAAAUUGAACUUUCCCAAUAAGUACAAAGAUGUAAUUGAGCUUUAAGCCAUAACUAAUAUAUCAAAUUCAAAUAUUUUCAUCUCAAAUAACUAUCUAUCCAAGCGCAACCUAAGAUUUCUCAAAAAAACUUAGAAUUCGCAUUCUGUAUUCACAUUCUUUCUUAAAUCCAUUAUGCUAUAAAUAUAACGUUUCCAACAUAAGUUUAAAAUUCACGAUACAAGGAAACACAUAAUUAGCAGAACAGAUGUUUGUUAUUUGUACAUUCCAUAUAUGCAAAAUGACAAUAUAUCUCACAAUUAUUACCGCAAGAAUAUAAAUGCUUUAGUUGCCCAUAUCAGACAAAGCAAAUUAUAGCUGCAAAAGAGAAGCAAAAUGAUGAGGGGAAAAAAAGAAGCUAAAAAUCAAGAUUUCUUUAUCCUAUCCACAUCCUUGUCGGGUCUUUAAUUUAUUGCCACAUACUUGAUACUUCUGCAAUCAUCGGCGAAAAGCUUUUUAUCCGGACGACUUCAUUCAUCCUUACAUAGUCUGUUUAGUGUCACAAAUAGGAAGAAAAUUUCUGGAAAAAUGGAUAUAACUGCACAGUCUCUUUCCCAUGCUAAGCUUCCCGCAGGCUGCUCCACCUCUGUAUCAACACCCAUCUUCCAUUCUAAACCCUCUAUUCUUGCUCAUAGUUCAAUCGCUUUUCAGUCUCCAAAGAACCCUUUCGUACAGCUGCAAGGUUUCAGAAUUAAAGCCAGGAAGCACAGGAUUCUUGGACCUGUACAUGCUUCUGAGGCUGAAAUUUCUUCCACUGAUGCUCAGGAAAGAUGGCUUCUCCAACCUGUUGGUCAGUGAACUCUUUCUUUCCAACUAUUUACCUUUCCUUAUUCUUUUUUUUAACAGCAAAUUAUUAUAGGCGAUGGAGAUUCAAGACACAUAGGAUAUAAGGUGAAAAUGCCAGAUGCUUUUGAAAUUGCUUCUGUGAGUAUCUCUUGUAUCUGCUAAUUAUACUAAUUUUGUGUCAAUCAGAGUUAAACAGACCUUAAUUAGGAUUUUCUUGAACAUUAAUCAUCUAGAAUGAGGUGACCGUUGGCCGUCUUCCUGACAAGGCAGAUAUGGUGAUUCCAGUUGCAACAGGUAAUUUGUUCUGCUAAAAUAUACAAUAUCUCAAUAGCUUUUAAUAUAGCGUACCAAUUUUGACAGUAUCUGGAAUCCAUGCCCGAAUUCAGAAGAAGGAAGGAAAUCUCUUGGUUACAGAUUUGGAUAGUACUAAUGGGACAUUCAUUGAUGACAAGCGUCUGAGACCUGGAGUUGUAGCCAAGGCACCUCCUGGAAGCAUUCUCACAAUUGGUGAUAUUCACCUUGCAAAGUUUCGUGUCUCAAAGCUUGAGAAUGUGGAAAGUGCAAGCAAACCUGAAGAAUCUGAAGAUAAGGCAGAGACAAGUCCCCCAGUUGACAGCGGUGGAACGAGUUAAAAACAUCUUAUUACAUUUGUGAAACGAGUUAAGCCGGCACAAAAUAGUGAAGCUUAAUUAUUUCUUCCCCCUCUUUUUUUCUCCAAUUAAUUUCUGUUUGAGAAAUAAUAUAUAAUGUGCCCUUUUCUAGUUCAAG
rnacentral:misc_RNA from 1 species